rnacentral:rRNA from 1 species
AGCAUAUGCAAUGUAUGCUCCCCUCGGGGCGGCAGAGACAGGUGGUGCAUGGUUGUCGUCAGCUCGUGUCGUGAGAUGUUGGUUUAAGUCCCGCAACGAGCGCAACCCCUACCCCCAGUAGCCAGCGCGUGGAGGCGGGGAGUCUGUGGGGACUGCCAGGGACAACCUGGAGGAAGGCGGGGAUGACGUCAAAUCAUCAUGCCCCUUAUGGCUUGGGCUACACACGUGCUACAAUGGCGUUAACAGAGGGAUGCGAUGCGGCGACGCGGAGCGAACCCCAGAAACAGCGCCCCAGUUCGGAUUGCAGCCUGCAACUCGGCUGCAUGAAGCCGGAAUCGCUAGUAAUCGCGGAUCAGAAUGCCGCGGUGAAUACGUUCCCGGGUCUUGUACACACCGCCCGUCACACCAUGGGAGUUGGGAAUGCCCGAAGUCAGUGGCCCAACCGUAAGGGGGGAGCUGCCGAAGGCAGAUCCGAUGACUGGGGUGAAGUCGUAACAAGGUAACCGU